UCUCCAUGUGACGUGAGGAGUUCAGUGAGAUCAGAGGAGCAGAAAUCAGCUGUAAUUCCUAACGCUGACCCCGGUGAGUGCUGACUGAGCCGUCUGUGACCGUGAGGACGGAUCUACGGCUCUGAAGUCCUGAAGAUCCAGGUGUUUCGCUGACGUCAGAGA